rnacentral:lncRNA from 1 species
GAAAUAUGCUGCUGAGUACAAGUUUGACGGCAGGCAUUUCUCAAGCCAUCUCUCCAGUGACCAACAAGGUUGAUGGGAGUGAAAUCGUUUUCUGUUUAAAAAACUGAUUUGGAACAUAGAUUUUGAUGCUCAUCUUCCUAGAAAGACUGGCCACAUCUCUCAAAGGGCAGGUCUGAGGCAUCAUGAUACAUAACACUUUUUCUCCUGCUCAGAUUUCUCUGGACUGCACAUAUUUCUAAUUUUAGAAGUAGCUGCAAGCAGUUAGGAGUCAUGCACUCACAUAUUCAAUGGUCUGUGCCAAAGCUGUCCAUGUCUGUUAGGGUAAUGUGUACUCGGUUAUUUUAAAUUCUUUCCUUUGAAAUGAAUGCUUUGCUGUUUCCACAUUUUCUGAUAAUCAGAAAUAUACUUUUCCAGACCUCUUCCUAAAGCAUGUUGAUUUUAAGGUCUGCACCAGACCUCUGUUCUGCUCUCGACUGUUGAAUAUGUCUGGCUUAUUUAAAAAAAACUGUGUUUGCCCAUAGAGGGGCAGGGAACUGGGGAGGAGAAGGUAGUUAAGGUAGGAUUCUGACUCCAAAUGAGCUGAUUAAAAGGUAUCUGAGAUAAUUGUUUUCAAAGGUGGAAAGAGAUGGCUGGAAAUCAAUGGGCAGUCAUGUUGGAAUGUAAAAGUAAUCAACAUGAACACAGGCCAUAUCAUCAAUGCUUUCUGAAUGCAAAGGGAAAGGGAACUACUAUGCCGUGGCUUCCUUCAAAUUGAUGUGUCUUUCCAAACUUAGAGGAGCAAGAGAAAUGCUUGCAGGGACUUUAACUUGAAAAAAAAAAACAGGCUUGUGGCAUUAACAUAGCACGUUGAGUUCUUUGGAGUCAAGGUGCUGGCUAAAUUUCUCCUGCUAAUAAAUGCUUUUAUCACAAAGUAUACCCAAUUCCACUAUCUGUGUGAUGCAUACCAAGUUUCUUUGGUUUGUAGCAAGACCAUUUUGCAUUACAGUUAUUCAAGAAAUCACUGAUCAAUUACUAAGAUGCAUCUUCAUAAGAAAUAAAUUCUUGACAUGCAUAGAAGUAUAUGGAUGGUUGAAAGUAACUUGGAAAUUGGAGUAACUGAAAUAAUUUAAUCUAAUCCAGUCAUUUCACAGGUGGGAUAGUGGAGGCCCAAGUUACUUAUGGGAUUGGGUCAAAGAAAGCCAGCAUUCUUUGACCAGUAUUAACAUCUGUGUGUCCUGAUAUCUACUCAAACUAUGACAUGAUAAUAUCUGUACACCAAUCACACAGAAAUGAACUAGAGGUGAUAUAGUUUAGAUGUCCCUUCCAAAUCUCAUGUUGAAAUUUAACACCCAGUGUUGGAGGUGGGGUCUGGUGGGAAGCGGAUCCCUCAUGGCUUGGUGUUCUCCUUGCAAUAGUGAGUACUUGCAAGAUCUGGUUAAGUCUGUGGCACCUCUCCCCACCUCACUCUCUCUUGCUCCCACUCUGCCAUGAGAGAUGUCUGCUCCCACUUCGCUUUCUGCCAUGAGUAAAAGCUCCUUGAGGCCUCCCCAGAAGCCAAACAGAUGCCAGUGCCUUGCUUCCUGUACAGACUGCAGAACUUAUUUCGAUAGAAAGGCGCUUGAACAUGCAGAACGUGCUCACAGUGCUGGAGCUCUUGCCCUGCUGUUUGUAUGGACUCCAUAAAAAGGGCACUGCUACUGCAAGUACAGAUACUUGGACCUCAUAGCAAGCUCCUCGGGCCCCUGGAACAAGAAGUCUCUAGCAUCUCUGCAGAUUUCUUGCCCACAGUGGGUAGCAGCGUGCCCUGAAGCAGACUGCUGAGACAGACAGUGAGGAGCACUUUCCUGGCAGCACUCAGUGUGUGGCAGACAAGCUUGUGGUAUUUGCCACCUGCAGGGACUAUGGGACAUGCUGUCAGAAUCCCCUCAAACUGCUUUCAAGGAAUCCUGGACUGAUGAUCAGCUCAGGACCUCAGUUAUCCCAGGCCUCAUGGGCCAGGGGUUUAUUAGAUCACAACAUACCUAUAACCACUGCAUGGCAUAAAAAUCAGGAAGCCCAGAGAACACAAAUGUCUGGCCCACGUCUGUAAGUGACAGCCCAGGAUUAGAAGGGACACUGGAUUUUGUGGAUGCUCCUUGGACACACUGGAAUGCACCUUGGGCAGCCCGUGGAUCAUUUUCCCCAGUAUGAAGCAUGGGAGGAGCUGGAAAAUGAACUCAUGAGCCAGUUGAGCCAGCACAACAAGCUGGAGCCAGGAGUCUGGCUGGGCUAGCUUUUAUCUUGUGCUCCCUGGAACCCUGACUGGAUGAUUUCUGAAGUCGAGCUGGAGCCCAUCUAGAGGGAAGGUGAAACUUCUCCUCAGCAUGCAGGGCCUCCUGCACCCACACUGCCACAGCCACCGCAUUACCAGCUCCUGCCAGUCUGAGGAGCAAGAGGCUGGCAUGAAGAAUCAGUUCCAUUCUUUCCUCCCUAAAUUUAGAAAAAGCCUGUUUUGCAAAGCUUUCUUCAGUGUUUCAAGACAAAAAAAAAAAAAUUAAGCAGUUGCACAACAUGCAUAUCUUCUCCUGGCCUGCAGCUCCAGGAUAUGCAGCUGGGAGCGAGUGUCCAGCCAACAGCCCGUGUCUCAGGCCCUGCCAGGGGAUGAAUCAAUUAGCAAGAGAAGCAAUGAUGCAAAUGCUCCGGGGUCACUUGGGAUGCUGUUUGCCUUUUUGAUAGAGAAAGCACACCAUAAAUAACAUCACACCUCAGGAAAUCAUUCCAGGAGGCCCCGAUGCUGGCAGGGCUGCUGCCAGGGACGGAAGGAAUCGUUUGCUCAUUGUGUGUAUUUCCCCCAGCUCAGUCAAUGGGAGAUUUGUAGUAAAAUCAAAGUAUUUAAAAGGAGGACAGUAUGUGGUAACAGAGGCAUGUUUAGCAAUUUUUUUAGUACCAGAACCUGUGAUUUAUGACCCAGAGUUACAGCCAACUUUAUUACAAAAAUGACUUCACCCAUAAUAACCUUAUUCAGGGCCCUCUGAUGAAUGAUGUAGUAUCCAACAGCAUUAUAAUCUAGUAAAUAUUCAAACACAAUUCCCGCCUCCGCCUCAUUUCCAACCAACCCCUCAGAAGCAGGCUUCCCCCUUUACCUGCUGGGAGAAGUGGGGUCCUGGGUAAGGCUUUGUGCUCUGUCUGUGGGAGUUUGCCUGGAUCAGGCAUUUAUACUAAGCCAGGACAGAAAGUGACCUCCUGGGGUCUCAGUCAUAUCUUGUCCAACCUUGUCCCCUGAGGAGUAAUGAGCAGAAGACACCCACUCACCCUUCAUUUCCUCUCUGUGCUGAAACUUAUUUCCUCCCUGCAUUCCCCCACUCCUCCAGAGCUCAGAUCCCCACCACCUGAAAGGAGCUCCAGUAAGCUCCCUGACAUUUUUAAUUGCCAUGGUAACUGAGGGCUGCACUAAAACCGCCAGGGCUGGGUGUCCAAGCAGGGUCCCCUGGGCGUACCGGGAUCUAGAAACUAGCCCUCCAUCUUAUUAAACUCCGGUGUCAGUUCCUAGCAAUUGUUUUAAAUUUACACCCUCAGAGUGGCUUAGUGGGAUUACAUGUCCAUUUGCAUUAAAACAGUUUUCUGUCAUUAAACUGCCAUACAAUAAGCUUCCUUGGGACAAAUUAAUGAGCUCUAAAUAUCAUCAAGUAGAAGUUCACUUCAAGACAGGCAACAAGGAGGGGGGUCGGAAGGAAGUGGCUGCUCAGAAUCUCAUGGCCCAGGAGAACGAUAAGUGCCAACUAAAGAAGGGUCUUGUCCUGUUUCUUCACUGCACGAUAAGUGGUCCUGAUUUAGAGCUGAAUGGGGAGAUUUGGCAAUAUUCUCCCUGUUCGCCAAAAUCCUAUAGCUCAUCUUCUAUUCCUUCUUCCAAAUAUGACUUUACCCUUGACUUUGCUGAAAUUUGCUGAUGAAACACUGACCUCUUGUCUCAGUGACAAUGUCUCAGCCUCAUUUUCUUUGUCCUGUAGUUUCUCUGUCCUUGAGGAACUUGCGUGCAUCCACGUGGCCUGGGAACAACACGCACACAACGCAGCACUAUGUGUAGCUUGAACAAGUGCUCCCUAACUUUGUUAGUUCCCACACACUUUGCUAAAAUGCAUGUAUGAUUGCUACUGAACUGUCUGGGUCCUCAGACCUUAUCGGGACCCUGGAACACGAGUCCUGAUCAGGAGCACCUUUCAUGGUCAUCAGGAGCAGAAUAGGAACAGGGAACAGUUUAGCUUCUAAGACUGAAUUUGUCCUGCUCACAAGAAUCACCAGAGCUUGUCCUCACAAAUACAUAUGUGUGUCUAAGUAGAAAUUUUUCAUUAACACCAAAUAAACCCCCAAACCUUCCCUUAUGUAAAGGAAAUAAGACUGGCUGCUAGACAGACUUCUUGAUCCACAGAGGCUGUGAUCUCAUUUCUGUGUAGCCUUAACAGGGGACAGUAAUGUAUGAUUGAGACACUGCUAUAUUUAGGAAUGACAAGAUGAACAUUAUUAAUAGCUUAAUUGACAUUAAGGCAAUUACCCCUACCCUUAUUACAGUUUGUAGAAUUACACAGAAAAUAUUGGCUGGGGCCUUUUUUUCCCUAGAGCUACCCAAGGAUACAGCAUUUUAUUUCAUGCCAGAUCCCAGCUUUGACAUUAGAUACUUAGCCAUAGAAUGAUUCCAGUAAAUCAUUAUAAAUGCAUUAUAAUAAAGAUGUUAUGAGCUAUCAGAUAUUAACCCCCAACCCCUAAAGAGAGAUAAAUAGUCCAGUUGCAUGAUUCCCACUUUUGUUUCAUAAGAAAUAAGCUUUUGCAAAGAGCAACUGACUAAUGAAUUAUAAAAUGGUGUGUUGAGCUCAGAUAAUUAAACAAUGCAUUUUAGUGUCUAGUGCAGGAUGAACACUAAAUCAUACACAAAUAAAAAAGGUAAAAAUCUGAGCCCCAUGCCUAACUCCUAUUUUUGAAUAACAUUAAUGUUGGUCUACAGUCCAAAAAUGCUUCAACUAUUUUCUUAUCUGAUUAGAGAGGCAUAUCAAGUAUAAGAUCAAGGCACAGUAGGCAAACUAAACCAACAGUCAGAACAAAAACUGUGAAGGUGCUAAUUUCAGAUAAGCCCACAAGGUUAUUUUAAUGGAGAUUUUACAUGGAGAUUGCUUUUUCCCCCAAAGUGUUAAUGGGACAAAAGUCUAGAAGGACCUGGAAGUUUUCAGGUUUCCUUAUACUUUAUAUUUUCUCUGAACUCAUAAUAAAGCAUAUUAGUGGGAAUGGGAUCUAUGCUAUUGGUGGUGGUCUUAGCCUUAUAGUGUUGGAAAGAUGAAUACACAUCCUAAAAUCUUCUCUAGGUUGUGGAGGUGCAGGGAUGAGGAGGGGUUGGUUUGGGUUUCAACCAUUAUCCUCCCCAGGUGGUGGUAUCCUGCCCAGCAGGGCUUCAUCUAGUGGUCAACCAUGGAACACCAUGACAUUUUCACCAGUGGCCCUCAGACAGGGCUGGUUUGCCAUUGGCUGCCAUUUCCUGGCAUGUCGUAGAUUUGCUGCGUGAUUUGAAGCUGUGCUUCAGCACAUCCUGAAUGUGUUUUUUAGUCUUUCAGUAUCUCAAAGACAUGGUGUCCGCCUCAAGGUAGUCUCCUAUUUCUUCGUCAAAUAGCACAUCAUUAAGGACUGUGUGGCCAAAAUUACAGAUGGUCUUGGACUCUGUAUGGGCAAUGACCACCUGUGCUGGUAAUCGAGGCUUCCCUGGAACACCUGGGAACAUACCACACAGCCAGUCCUCUCCUGUGCUCCAGUCAAGCUUAACCUCACAGCCCGAUACUCCCUCCACUUCCCUAGCUCCAUGUGUUAGCCACUGCAGGUUAAUUGAUCUAAGGCUUAUUUUCUUCAAAUAUAAAAUGAAGAUAAUAAUGCCUACCCAGAGGGUCAUGUGAACAUUAAAUGAGAUCAAUUAUGUAAAGAUCUAUCUAUGCAGUGCCUUUCACAGAGUAUGCCCACAAAUAAAUGUUACCUGUUUCAUUUUAGUUAUCUAUGUUUAGCUAUCUUUGUGUUUUUUCUAUCCUGCUUCUUCUCGCUCCACUAUACUCUUACAUCCUAAUUCUCUCUCUCUCUCAUACACACAUACUUUGCUGUGUCUAGCACAGUGCUUUGCUUGUGGCUCACACUCUACAUGCUUGUUACCCUGAACUAUUAACAAAAGCAGCUGCUAGUAACAGUUAAUGUUUUCUGACCACCUACAUGAGCCAGGCACUAUGCUAAGUAUCAUCACUUCCUUUAAUUCUCACAAGCUUAUGAGACAAAUACUAUUUUAAUUCUCAUCUAUCGGAAAUUAAAGAUUAAAGAUGUUCUAUAACUUGCCCAAGGUCACACAAGCUCUUAAGUGGAUAGUCAAGAUCCAAACUCAGAACCGGCCUGGAUUUGAAAUCUCAGUUCUUAACUAUCACUGUGUCAGACUGAUUUUGUUAGCUUUUUCCUCCUUUAGACUGGGCCCUAUCAAGGGAUCAGAGAUAAGCAUGUACCCACUCUCAGAUGAGUGAUCCCACGACCUCAAGUUUUGAAGUUCCAGGAAGUCCAGAAGUGUAUGCUAACUCUAGUUUAUAGCUGUUCAAAAGUCACUUGUCUAAAAACUUCAGGGACAUUAUGUAAAACCAUCCAAAAAACAUUAUUGCACACCCCAUAAAGUUAAUUUCACUUUGCAAGAAUGUGUUUGAGGGAGGUGAUGCACUUGGCUAUGUAUUCAGGUUGGUGGCCACAAUAUAUGGAGCUGUGCUGUCAUCCUUGACACUCUGGCUUACUGGCAGCCUCGCUCCAACACACUGUCACAGGCGAGGGAUGGCCUCCCAGUCUUGACUCAGAACACUUAAGCUUCCUAAUGGUCCAAGUCUCACAAACCACACACCUCCCUUAAUUAAAAAAGUAAAUUAAAAGGAGUAUUUCAACUUAGGGAUGAAUUAUCUUAGUAAUUUAAGAUUGACAUUUUAUUGGAUAAAAGGACAUGUAUGAGUUUAUUUUAAAAUACUGCCUUCAUGAACAAGAGACCACAGAAAAGAUUAUCCUGAGGUUGCAAGGCGUUUGUAGAGCCAGAGGACACCCUUGCAAAACAGCCACUGUGAGAGGCCAGUUGCUGCAAAUCACAGGUCAGCCACUUCUACACUUGUCCUUCAAGCACAUCAGCCGGACAUUUGGAGUUUUCUAUAGUCUUCAUUUCAAACUCGAUCAUCCUGAGUGUUGUGGUGGACACUACUAGUGUCACAAAGAGUCCAGCACCCUCUCCUUCCAGGUAUAUAAACGGUGCAUUGCUGGGCUCCUUUGCAGUUGGAUAGGUCAGGUAAUUUGUCUGUUGUGAAGAGUUACUAUGUUUCACUUCUAAGCCGAAGCAUUUGAUUGUCAAUGGAAUACCCUCCAGCUCUCUCCUUCCCUGCAGAAGUAAUCUUGGAAGCAUGUGUUGAGAUGACAGAGUUCCCAAUAGCCUAGAUUCCUGAAUGACUUAGUGGAGCUGAGUCCUCCACAGGUCCAUGUUGGACAUGCACAAUCAGUGAGAAUAAACUUUUGUUGGAUUAAGUCACCGAUGUUUGGAGACUGUUCAUUACCACAACAAAAUGUAGCCAAAUCCCGACUAAUCCAGGAAUUAACCUUUUGUUCAGAAAAUACAGCCCUUCUAAGUCAUAAACCCAUAUUCUCUUUCCAAUAGCUUAUUAAAUGGUUUAUGUAUUUUCCAUCUUUUUGAUAUACUCUCAGAUGCCUAAAAUUACCACAGUGACCUUGGAUUGGACAAGGUAGUUGUUUGUCUUUUAGCCAUUAAUAAAUAUUGCUACUGUGGAAUGAGUGAGGGAAACAGAAGAAGACAAGGUUGGCCUUUUGAAAAUAAUAUGGCAUCAUGUAACGAUGAAAAAGAGAAAAAAUACAGAAAAAAGAGAAAACAAGAGAAAAAUGAAAAACAAGUCUAUAAGAGAGAAAAGUAGAGAAAAACAAAACAAUAGAAAUGCUGGGCAAUUUGUUUCAGAUUCACUAUAACCAACUGCUUGUUGUUGGGUUCUGCUCUAGAAGGCAUCUCUCAGGAUGCCUUUGACCCUCAGCACCUUUUUGUGUAUGUGCCUAGCAUACUGAGGUGCUCAAUAAAUGUUGAUUGAAAGGGUAAAUAAAGGAAUAAAUUUCCAUUUUAUAAUCUUGGAAGCAUAUAUUACUUUAAACGGCCUAUGACUAUGAAUGGACAUUCCAUUGCACAUUGAAAGGCAGUACAACAAGUGAGAAGGGAAGUAGAAAUAUAUGAGUUUGAAUAGCUCUUCAUAACCUUUAAACCUGAGUCCUUGCAAAGAGCAACUAUGAGGUCAGAGCAAUAAUUCUUUGUCCUAAAAACAGGACACCACUGAUAACUCAGAGCCGUCUGUUGAAGAAAGUGUUUCAAAUAAACUGGUUAGCAAUGCCCUUGUUUUGUUUGCCUCUGGAUGGGAAGAACUAGGAGUGCAAUCAGCACCGAGGUGUCUAUAGUCUUGAUGUGGUGGGAGAUGAAAGUAGGGGAACUGAAUAAUGUAUUUUUUCAAAACCUUGAAUGGAGCGAGAAAUACUGAUAAAAAGGAAGAGUUGUGAGUCAUUCUUCUGCUGAUGCCAACUGGGAAGCUCCAGUAGUAUAUUCCCCUGGUGAUGAAGUAAUUCACUUUUUCUGAGAUUAACAUUCUGUAGUAAGGCUGUUCCUCAUACAAGGUUGCUCACAGGUAAAGUUAAUAAAAGGCAGAGUCUAAGAAUUCAUAAGGAAGUUUGCCUUUCCAUGGGGAGAAAGCAUGCAAUCAGGGUCUCUAGUCUGUGUGCACACGUGUGUGUGCGCGUGUGUGUGUGCGCGCGCGCACUCAUAUGCACAGCUCAGAUGUCCAGGACUUGAGAUGAGAAUGGAAAGCACCGAAUAAGAAGAAAGCUGCCACACAGUAGGCUGAAGGAGAAUGACUACAACCUUUAGGCUGAAAAAAAAAAAACACUACAUGCUGGCGUGUAUCCUUGUGGAUAUGUGGAAACACAACAAAAAUAUUGGUCCAUCCUGGCUGCAGUUUUAAAGGAAAGGAAGAUCUCCUGGCAUCAACAUCUCUUGGAGAUGAACACACUAUACAUGCAAGUUCAAAUCUAUCAUCUUCCACCAGUCAACCCAAGCUACAUUCCCCUUCCAUUUAUUAUCAAAGGAAUAAGCACUUUUGUUUCCCAGGCUUAACUCCUCAAAAUCAUGAGCUUUUCUUCCCUACCUUUCCCUUCAUUCGAACUCUUUCCUUUCAAAAUGUUUAUAGAAUUCAUUCUUAUCCUCUCCCUGCCUGGGGGGUUUAUCUAGCUAGUCUAAAUUCUAGAUCAUUGCCUUUCUAUAGGAAAUAUAAAACACACAAAUAAUGAAAUACCCAUAAUCCAAGGCAGAAAUCAUGAGUGUUAUAGUAACAAUGGCCUCAAGAGCUAGACUGCCCAGGCAGCUCAUAUU